AGUUAUAUAUAUAUAUAUGCGAUACGUAUACGAAUAAAUCGAAACCGAACUCCUAUUUUGGUGGAAUGGGAAUCGCUCCACUUCGGUUCAAUGCGAUAUUUUGCUUGGGUUUAAACACGAUAGAAAUUAGGUUUUAAACUCUAUUUUUCGUUCACCCAAAACAGAGAACCAACGAGAGAGAGAGAGAGCACGUAUACGGCGUAUACGGUACCGAAAACUUUCGUUUCUUCAAGCGGAGUGAAACCUGGGUGAACGUGGGGGUUUGGGAUCACUUAUAUACGACCUAAGGAAGCUUUUUAACGUGGUAUAAGGGGCGGAAGUCGUCGUUUUGAGAUUCGCCAUUUUUGAAGCUUCAAAGGUGCGGCUUAGUUACGGACUCAAAUUCGAACGUGUUUAAGCUUGUUCUUGGGUCAAGGGAGGUUAUAUUUGAGUGCAUGGGACCCUAAGGAUUGUUUUUGACGUAAGAAAACGAAGCUUUAACGUCCAAAACGAAAAUCCAAAAUUUUGACUCCAUUAAAGGCGGUACACCGCCAACGAAGAAGACAACCCCGAUCUGCCUUCUCGGACCACUUUUCUUGAUUGUUUUGAGGUCCUGAGCAUUGUGGAGAGCUUCCCCAAUCGAAAGGACGCUUCAAGAGCCAUCGGAGACAAAGUUACACUUUACCGGCGACGAAACCGACGAGAACGCCGGCGACCGCGUUCUGACCGUUUCUGAGGAUCUUGUUCUCAACAAGGAAAUUCGUUGAGGUGCUCGAGGUAGCAAGUGUGGUCUUAGCAACUGAGGUAAGGGUAAGGCUAAGCAGUGAGAAUGAAGAGCUCGAGGCGUGGACCGCAUGUUAGGGGGCUGGCACAGUAUUUUGCUUUUAAUGUUUUUAACUGCUAAACAUUUUGGAACUAUUAUUUUGACUUAACUAGUUCUUAUUUAAGUUUACAGUACUAAAAGUAUUUUGUUUUAAACAAUGAGAUCUCAUGCUUGGAUAUUUUUCAAUAAAGCAGUAUUUGAUUGUCUUUAUCUUAUUAAAUUAUUUUA